AAAGCGUCGUAGCUGGCCAGACACUCCAUUGGGAAAUCCACGCGCUCAACGCGUGGGCGUCCAGCGGAAACUGUCUGGCUUGGGGCCGGAGGACUCGAGGGGUACGUCUGGGGUAGGAGUGAAAUCCCGUAAUCCUGGACGGACCACCGGUGGCGAAAGCGCCUCGAGAGGACGGACCCGACAGUGAGGGACGAAAGCCAGGCUCUCGAACC
rnacentral:rRNA from 1 species